CCCGGGUAAGCUCAGAUUGGUAGAGCGCUCCACUGGAAAUGAAGAGGUGCCAGGUGCGAUACCUGGACCAGGGG
rnacentral:tRNA from 1 species